AUCCAUUUUCAGGAACAUUGUAAAAUGUGAUUUCAUUCGAGAUCUGCUUAUAUGAUACCUCAGGGAGCCCUGCUGAAAGACAUCUGCAUGAGAGCAGUGAAACAUGUUGGAUGUGUGAUGAAUGACAGGAGGAAGCAUCAAGCACAGUGUGGUGAAGCUAAAGGCAUGUGUGUCCACAGCGAGCCGAGGAGGAACAUUCAUAAGAGCACAGUGUUUACUUUGCUUCCACCACGAGCACGGUCCUAUGGAGACACAGGGCUCUCCUCCAGAGGCACUGAGCUGCUGGCCCUGCAAGUGCAGGGGUUCUGCUGUCCCCUCCAGCAGAGGCCCAGCAGUGGGAGGGUGACACACAGGGUGACACCUCAGAGCAGAGGAGGAGGAGAUGGGAGCCUCACUCUGCUGAGCAGUCUCAACGUAAAGCUGGAGAGCCGAAGCAAAACAGCAUCAAGGCCCAGUA
rnacentral:lncRNA from 1 species